GACGAACGCUGGCGGCGUGCUUAACACAUGCAAGUCGAACGAUGAAGCGGUGCUUGCACCGUGGGUUAGUGGCGAACGGGUGAGUAAUACGUGAGUGACCUACCUUUGACUCUGGGAUAAGCCUGGGAAACUGGGUCUAAUACCGGAUACGACCAAUCUCUGCAUGGGGUGUUGGUGGAAAGCGUUAUGGAGUGGUUUUAGAUGGGCUCACGGCCUAUCAGCUUGUUGGUGAGGUAAUGGCUUACCAAGGCGACGACGGGUAGCCGGCCUGAGAGGGUGACCGGCCACACUGGGACUGAGACACGGCCCAGACUCCUACGGGAGGCAGCAGUGGGGAAUAUUGCACAAUGGGCGCAAGCCUGAUGCAGCGACGCCGCGUGAGGGAUGACGGCCUUCGGGUUGUAAACCUCUGUUAGCAUCGAAGAAGCGAAAGUGACGGUAGGUGCAGAGAAAGCGCCGGCUAACUACGUG
rnacentral:rRNA from 1 species